UUUUUAGAAGUGCUUAUUGUAAGCACCAAAAUUGAAACACGAAGUUUACCGAUGGUCGUUAUUUUAUUUUCAGUUGUAUUUUAAAUUCAUAAAAGUGAAGUUCGUGCUACUAUUUAAAAAAUAAAUUGUUGCUUUUUGUUACCAAUUUAACAUUAAUGUUUUCACAGUAAUACAUUUUAUGAAAUGCGCGCAGAAAAAAGCAAACUCCGAAGCAGGAAGCAGCAAGCCCCCGUACACAAGAAAAGCGAUUCCAAUUAAAAAUUAUUUGGGUUCUUAAAUAUUGAAAUAAAAAAACAAUCAUGAAAUUA